CCUACGGGUGGCAGCAGUGGGGGAUAUUGCACAAUGGGGGAAACCCUGAUGCAGCGACGCCGCGUGAGUGAAGAAGUAUUUCGGUAUGUUAAGCUCUAUCAGCAGGGAAGAAAAUGACAGUACCUGACCAAGAAGCCCCGGCUAACUACGUUCCAGCAGCCGCGGUAACACGUAGGGGGCAAGCGUUAUCCGGAUUGACUGGGUGUAAAGGGGGCGUAGACGGUUAUGUAAGUCUGGAGUGAAAGCCCGGGGCCCAACCCCGGGACUGCUGUGGAAACUGGGGAACUGGAGUACGGGAGGGGCAGGCGGAAUUCGUGGUGUAGCGGUGAAAUGCGUAGAUAUCAGGAGGAACACCGGCUGCGAAGGCAGCCUGCUGGACUGAAACUGACGUUGAGGCUCGUAAGCGUGGGGAGCGAACAGGAUUAGAUACCCGAGUAGUC
rnacentral:rRNA from 1 species